CCUACGGGAGGCAGCAGUGGGGAAUAUUGGACAAUGGGCGAAAGCCUGAUCCAGCCAUGCCGCGUGUGUGAAGAAGGUCUUCGGAUUGUAAAGCACUUUAAGGUGGGAGGAAGGGCAGUAAGCUAAUACCUUGGUGUUUGACGUUACCGCCAGAAUAAGCACGGCUUAC
rnacentral:rRNA from 1 species